rnacentral:rRNA from 1 species
UGGGGGAUAUUGCACAAUGGGCGAAAGCCUGAUGCAGCGACGCCGCGUGGGGGAUGAAGGCCUUCGGGUUGUAAACUUCUUUUGCUCUGAACAAGGCAUGCUUUUGGGGUGUGUUGAGUGUAGGGGUUGAUUAGCGCCGGCUAACUACGUGCCAGCAGCCGCGGUAAUACGUAGGGCGCGAGCGGUGUCCGGAAUUAUUGGGCGUAAAGGGCUUGUAGGUGGCUGGUUGCGUCUGUCGUGAAAGCUCAUGGCUUAACUGUGGGUUUGCGGUGGGUACGGGCUGGCUUGAGUGCAGUAGGGGAGGCUGGAAUUCCUGGUGUAGCGGUGGAAUGCGCAGAUAUCAGGAGGAAUACCGGUGGCGAAGGCGAGUCUCUGGGCUGUUACUGACGCUGAGGAGCGAAAGCGUGGGGAGCGAACAGG